rnacentral:tRNA from 1 species
GGGCUCUUAGAUCAGCGGUAGAUCGCUCGCUUCGCAUGCGAGAGGCCAGGGGUUCAAAUCCCCUAGAGUCCA